AUGCACCGAAGCUGCGGCAGCGAACGUAUCACCCAAGACAACUUUACGGAGUUGACGAUUGACGGAGCGAAGCGACGUCAAAGCGUUCAUUAAAGUCGAGUUGGCUUAGGGAUACGUUCGUUGGGUAGGGGAGCGUUCUGUAAGCCUGUGAAGGUGUGUCGUGAGGCAUGCUGGAGGUAUCAGAAGUGCGAAUGCUGACAUAAGUAACGAUAAAGCGGGUGAAAAGCCCGCUCGCCGGAAGACCAAGGGUUCCUGUCCAACGUUAAUCGGGGCAGGGUGAGUCGACCCCUAAGGCGAGGCCGAAAGGCGUAGUCGAUGGGAAACGGGUUAAUAUUCCCGUACUUGGUGUUACUGCGAAGGGGGGACGGAGAAGGCUAUGUUGGCCGGGCGACGGUUGUCCCGGUUUAAGCGUGUAGGUGUGUGUUCCAGGUAAAUCCGGUUCACUUUAACACUGAGGCGUGACGACGAGGCACUACGGUGCUGAAGCAACAAAUGCCCUGCUUCCAGGAAAAGCCUCUAAGCAUCAGGUAACAUCAAAUCGUACCCCAAACCGACACAGGUGGUCAGGUAGAGAAUACCAAGGCGCUUGAGAGAACUCGGGUGAAGGAACUAGGCAAAAUGGUGCCGUAACUUCGGGAGAAGGCACGCUGACACGUAGGUGAAGUGAUUUACUCAUGGAGCUGAAGUCAGUCGAAGAUACCAGCUGGCUGCAACUGUUUAUUAAAAACACAGCACUGUGCAAACACGAAAGUGGACGUAUACGGUGUGACGCCUGCCCGGUGCCGGAAGGUUAAUUGAUGGGGUCAGCGCAAGCGAAGCUCCUGAUCGAAGCCCCGGUAAACGGCGGCCGUAACUAUAACGGUCCUAAGGUAGCGAAAUUCCUUGUCGGGUAAGUUCCGACCUGCACGAAUGGCGUAAUGAUGGCCAGGCUGUCUCCACCCGAGACUCAGUGAAAUUGAACUCGCUGUGAAGAUGCAGUGUACCCGCGGCAAGACGGAAAGACCCCGUGAACCUUUACUAUAGCUUGACACUGAACAUUGAGCCUUGAUGUGUAGGAUAGGUGGGAGGCUUUGAAGUGUGGACGCCAGUCUGCAUGGAGCCGACCUUGAAAUACCACCCUUUAAUGUUUGAUGUUCUAACGUGGACCCGUAAUCCGGGUUGCGGACAGUGUCUGGUGGGUAGUUUGACUGGGGCGGUCUCCUCCUAAAGAGUAACGGAGGAGCACGAAGGUUGGCUAAUCCUGGUCGGACAUCAGGAGGUUAGUGCAAUGGCAUAAGCCAGCUUGACUGCGAGCGUGACGGCGCGAGCAGGUGCGAAAG
rnacentral:rRNA from 1 species